CUCGUUGGAAUCUAUGCUUCUGUUGUGGGAUUUUCUUUUGGGUCCAGCCAGCCCUUCAGUACCCUUAGUAGUACCCUUCCAAAUGUUCUUUCUAGGGGAAUUGGAUUUUUGUCAAUUGCCCCAUGUCGUGAUGUGUCUCUUAAUUGUCCCAGGAAGAAAGCUGUGAUUAUUUGGCUGUGUAUACACACACUCACGCACUGAUACGCACUCACGCACGCACUGAUACACACACACACACACACACACACACUCUCUGUAUCUGAUGUUUCAAAAACACAUUCUAUUUAGAUCUUCAAAAAUGACCAUUGUGGAAUCAGAGUGUGUGUGUGUGUGUGUGUGUGUGUGUGUGUGUGUGUGUGUGUGUGUGUGUGUCAGUACAGGUUAAAUCAAGAUAUUGUCCUACGAAGAAAUGACCAUUCAUGGGUAUCGUGGAAUCAGAGUGUGCGGGUGUGUGUGUGUGUGUGUGUCAGUACAGGUUAAAUCAAGAUAUUGUCCUGUGAAGAAAGGACCAUUCAUGGUAAAACAUUUGUUGGGGGGUGACUCUGUGACUGGGAUCACCAGUGGUGUGCUGGAGCUGAACAGAUUAGUGUGUGUGUGUGUGUUUGUAUAUGUGUGUGUGUUUUGUAUGAAUAGAGAUGUUAUUGUUCCUACUCUACUGCCUCUGAGGGUGAAAAUAGACUUUUACACAAUGAGAUCAGACUUGACUUUCCCUCUCUAUCACACCUGCUCUCUCUCUGUCUCUCUCUCACCACUAGUGGUGGGGUGGCUGGUGUGUUAGUUUUUAAUCUGCCACUUUAACAUUACUUUUCCCCCUCACUUGGCUGUAGAUGAUACUCCAAAAGGUUUUGGGAUAUUUAGUUCCCCUACCGAGAUAGUAAACAGUCAUAUUUUCUGUAGUCAGGUUAAUGUCAUAGAGCCCCAUUCAUUCUGAAAGUGCCUAAAACACCUUAUAUACAUUCCAACCCAUGUUGGGGGAGGGUUUGUCCAGGGUUGGCCGUCAUUGUAAAAUAAGAAUUUGUUUUUAACUGACUUGCCAAGUUAAAUAAAGGUUACAUUUAAAAAUAAUAAUAAUAAAUAAUAUUAAAGUAGUUCUUGACCAGGUUUGCACACAUUGCAGCAGGGAUUUUGGUCCACUCCUCCAUACAGACCUUCUCCAGACCUUUCAGGUUUCAGGGCUGUCGCUGGGCAAUACGGACUUUCAGCUCCCUCCAAAGAUUUUCUAUUGGGUUCGGGUAUGGAGACUGGCUAGGCCACUCCAGGACCUUGAAAUGCUUCUUACGGAGCCACUCUUUAGUUGCCCUGGUUGUGUGUUUCGGGUCGUUGUCAUUCUGGAAGACCCAGCCACGACCCAUCUUCAAUGCUCUUACUGAGGGAAGGAGGUUGUUGGCCAAGAUCUCGCGAUACAUGGCCCCAUCCAUCCUCCCCUCAAUACGGUGCAGUCGUCCUGUCCUCUUUGCAGAAAAGCAUCCCCAAAGAAUGAUGUUUCCACCUCCAUGCUUCACAGUUGGGAUGGUGUUCUUGGGGUUGUACUCAUCCUUCUUCUUCCUCCAAACACGGCAAGUGGAGUUUAGACCAAAAAGCUUUAUUUUUGUCUCAUCAGACCUUCUCCCAUUCCUCCUCUGGAUCAUCCAGAUGGUCAUUGGCAAAAUUCAGACGGGCCUGGAAAUGCGCUGGCUUGAGCAGGGGGACCUUGCGUGCACUGCAGGAUUUUAAUCCAUGAC
rnacentral:lncRNA from 13 species